CUUGAAGACAAAUGCACUUUUAUUUUUUUAUUUUCCCACUCUCUGUAACUUUACCUUGCUGUUAGUAUGGUUUACCUUGAAAAGCUUUGGGAAGUCUGCUUGGAGUUAUUUCACCACGUCCAGUGUUUCCUAAGGGUCCGGCAGGAUGCAUUGUCGGACAGUAAACGAGGAGUGCGUGCAGUGCCCCUCCGCGAACACACACACACACACACAGGCAUAUUGUCAGCAAACAAAGUUUGCUUAUGCAUGCAGUGGCCCUCACCUUGAGAGAGCAAGAGGGAGAUAGACACCAGCAACAUGGCACACACAAUCUUCCCUGAACCCAAAGGAUCUCUGGUUGUUAAUACAUAACACCGGUUUGUGUUUAACCUGAUAUACUCUCACUGUAUCCACUCACUGUGUCAGCUAUUCCCGAACACAUGCAGGCAUGCAUACAAAUGCACACACACACACCACUCUGUUUCCCUGGGUUCUGCUGGAUCGUACCAGUAAUCCCUUUUUCCACGCUUCAUCCCAACACACGUACUAAGCCUAUUAGGUUAUUGACGUGGUUGGCAGAGGUACAGGAUGGCUCUCUGUUGGGGCCGCACACUCACCUUGCAGUUCAUAAUUUGUGCACUUCGAAACAGUUUUGAAAACCAAACUGUUAUCUAUAUCAAAUUGAUACUGAGAGUUUUUUUGUCAUUGACACAUUUUAAACAGGGGCAAGGAUUUUAUAUGACCUGGCUUUAGCCAACAUUAAGAUGCUUUGGUGUCUUUUAAAUGUCUUCCAUUGCCAAAAUGUUAUUUGUCCUCCCUGAGAUGUAUUUUUAAUUUAUGCCUUAUUUUAAUAUCUCCUCCCUCACAAUAGCACUGCAUUGUUAAAUUUUUGAGCCAGCCAUUUCAAUAUGUUGGCUUUGUGGUUCUUCUUAUAAUUCCAAAUUGGGUUCCCCAUCUUCUGAGAACUGGAGGCCUGAAUGAAGAGAGACAGCUACUUUGAUUUGUGUUAAUCAGACUUAUUUGCACAUGUGUAUAUACUGUACAUGACUUUACUACAGACCC
ensembl:lncRNA